UUGCAUUUGUGACCCACAAACAUGAUGACUGGCUUUUCACACCAUUUUCUGAGAUGUGCCUCCCUUAAACCUUAUUAGGAUGUUGGUAUUUUACCCAUUUCGUG